rnacentral:rRNA from 1 species
GUGCCAGCAGCCGCGGUAAUACAGAGGUCCCAAGCGUUGUUCGGAUUUACUGGGCGUAAAAGGUGCGUAGGAGGCUUGGAAAGUCAGGUGUGAAAUCUCACCGCUUAACGGUGAAAUGGCGCUUGAUACUCCUGAGCUAGAAGAUCGGAGGGGAGAACGGAAUUCCUGGUGUAGCGGUGAAAUGCGUAGAUAUCAGGAGGAACACCAACGGCGAAGGCAGUUCUCUGGACGAUUCUUGACUCUGAGGCACGAAGGCCAGGGGAGCAAACGGGAUUAGAUACCCCGGUAGUCCUGGCAGUAAACGGUGCUCAUUAGGUGUAGGCGGAUUCGACCCCGUCUGUGCCGUAGCUAACGCGUUAAAUGAGCCGCCUGGGGAGUACGGUCGCAAGAUUAAAACUCAAAUGAAUUGACGG